rnacentral:rRNA from 1 species
GUGGGGAAUAUUGCGCAAUGGGCGAAAGCCUGACGCAGCGACGCCGCGUGAGUGAUGAAGGCCUUCGGGUCGUAAAGCUCUGUCGGGCGGGAAGAAAAAAUCUAACCUGAACAGGGUUGGAUUCUGACGUUACCGCCGAAGGAAGCACCGGCUAACUCCGUGCCAGCAGCCGCGGUAAAACGGAGGGUGCAAGCGUUGCUCGGAAUCACUGGGUGUAAAGGGCGCGUAGGUGGUUGUCUAAGUCGGAUGUUAAAUCCCUGGGCUUAACCCAGGAAUUGCAUUCGAAACUGGGCAGCUUGAGGGUGGGAGAGGAAAGUGGAAUUCCCGGUGUAGAGGUGAAAUUCGUAGAUAUCGGGAGGAACACCAGUGGCGAAAGCGGCUUUCUGGACCAUCCCUGACACUGAGGCGCGAAAGCGUGGGGAGCAAACAGGAUUAGAAACCCUAGUAGUCC